UCCAGAGGGGGCAAGCGUUGUUCGGAAUUCCUGGGCGUAAAGGGCGCGUAGGCGGCCUUCUAAGUCGAACGUGAAAUCCCUGGGCUCAACCCAGGAACUGCGUCCGAUACUGGAAGGCUUGAAUCCGGGAGAGGGAUGCGGAAUUCCAGGUGUAGCGGUGAAAUGCGUAGAUAUCUGGAGGAACACCGGUGGCGAAGGCGGCAUCCUGGACCGGUAUUGACGCUGAGGCGCGAAAGCCAGGGGAGCAAACGGG
rnacentral:rRNA from 1 species